rnacentral:sRNA from 1 species
AAAUAGCCCUGAUGGGAAUGUAAAUCCUGUUAUUGUGAGAUUGUCCCGCAAGCUCGCACUAACAGAUUGCAAUGGACAGCAGGAAAAUGG